rnacentral:rRNA from 1 species
UACGUAGGGGCCUAGCGUUGUCCGGAUUUAUUGGGCGUAAAGAGCUCGUAGGCGGUUCGGUAAGUCAGGUGUGAAAUCUCCACGCUCAACGUGGAGGCGCCACCUGAAACUGCCGUGACUCGAGUCCGGUAGGGGAGUGUGGAAUUCCCAGUGUAGAGGUGAAAUUCGUAGAUAUUGGGAAGAACACCGGUGGCGAAGGCGGCGAGCUGGCCUGUACCUGACGCUGAGGCGCGACAGCGUGGGGAGCAAACAGG